CCUACGGGUGGCAGCAGUGGGGAAUUUUGCGCAAUGCUCGUAAGAGUGACGCAGCGACGCCGCGUGAAUGACGAAGGCCUUCGGGUCGUAAAGUUCUUUUGACAGGGAAGAAAACGCCUAUAAGUAACUGUGUCUGAAUUGACGGUACCUGUAUAAGCAGUCCCGGCUAACUCCGUGCCAGCAGCCGCGGUAAUACGGAGGGGGCGAGCGUUGUUCGGAGUGACUGGGGGUAAAGGGCACGUAGGCGGUGUUGUAAGUUAUUAGUCAAAGACUAGAGCUGAACUUUAGUGAGGCUAGUGAUACUAUACAACUAGAGUAUCAGAGAGGAGAGCAGAAUGCCUGGUGUAGCGGUGAAAUGCGUAGAUAUCAGGCGGAAUACCGUUAGCGAAGGCAGCAAUCUGGCUGGAAACUGACGCUGAGGUGCGAAAGCGUGGGUAGCAAACAGGAUUAGAUACCCGAGUAGUC
rnacentral:rRNA from 1 species